rnacentral:rRNA from 1 species
AACCUCCUUCGGGAGGGGAUUAGUGGCGAACGGGUGAGUAACACGUGGGCAAUCUGCCCUUCACUCUGGGACAAGCCCUGGAAACGGGGUCUAAUACCGGAUACGAGCCUGAGAGGCAUCUCUCGGGUUGGAACGCCCCCUCUGGUGAAGGAUGAGCCCGCGGCCUAUCAGCUUGUUGGUGAGGUAAUGGCUCACCAAGGCGACGACGGGUAGCCGGCCUGAGAGGGCGACCGGCCACACUGGGACUGAGACACGGCCCAGACUCCUACGGGAGGCAGCAGUGGGGAAUAUUGCACAAUGGGCGAAAGCCUGAUGCAGCGACGCCGCGUGAGGGAUGACGGCCUUCGGGUUGUAAACCUCUUUCAGCAGGGAAGAAGCGAGAGUGACGGUACCUGCAGAAGAAGCGCCGGCUAACUACGUGCCAGCAGCCGCGGUAAUACGUAGGGCGCAAGCGUUGUCCGGAAUUAUUGGGCGUAAAGAGCUCGUAGGCGGCUUGUCACGUCGAUUGUGAAAGCCCGAGGCUUAACCUCGGGUCUGCAGUCGAUACGGGCUAGCUAGAGUGUGGUAGGGGAGAUCGGAAUUCCUGGUGUAGCGGUGAAAUGCGCAGAUAUCA